UACGUAGGGGGCAAGCGUUGUCCGGAUUUAUUGGGCGUAAAGAGCGUGUAGGCGGCCAGGUAGGUCCGUUGUGAAAACUGGAGGCUUAACCUCCAGCUGUCGAUGGAAACCAUCUGGCUAGAGUCCGGAAGAGGAGAGUGGAAUUCCUGGUGUAGCGGUGAAAUGCGCAGAUAUCAGGAAGAACACCCGUGGCGAAGGCGGCUCUCUGGGACGGUACUGACGCUGAGACGCAAAAGCGUGGGGAGCGAACAGG
rnacentral:rRNA from 1 species